rnacentral:tRNA from 1 species
GGUCCCGUAGUCCAGUGGCAGGAUAUUCGCUGUCAAGUUAUCGAAUGACCCGGGUUCGAUCCCCGGCAGGAUCA